AUUGAACGCUGGCGGCAUGCCUUACACAUGCAAGUCGAACGGCAGCACGGGAGCAAUCCUGGUGGCGAGUGGCGAACGGGUGAGUAAUAUAUCGGAACGUGCCCAGUCGUGGGGGAUAACGUAGCGAAAGCUACGCUAAUACCGCAUACGAUCUACGGAUGAAAGCGGGGGAUCGCAAGACCUCGCGCGAUUGGAGCGGCCGAUAUCAGAUUAGCUAGUUGGUGGGGUAAAAGCUCACCAAGGCGACGAUCUGUAGCUGGUCUGAGAGGACGACCAGCCACACUGGAACUGAGACACGGUCCAGACUCCUACGGGAGGCAGCAGUGGGGAAUUUUGGGACAAUGGGCGCAAGCCUGAUCCAGCAAUGCCGCGUGCAGGAUGAAGGCCUUCGGUUGUAAACUGCUUUUGUACGGAACGAAAGCUUCUAGUUAAUACCUGGAGUCAUGACGGUACCGUAAGAAUAAGCACGGCUAACUACGUGCC
rnacentral:rRNA from 1 species